rnacentral:lncRNA from 1 species
CAGCAGUAUCAGGCCUCUUGGUCAAGACAUGAACUUCCCCCUUGCUAGCUAAAGCCUUGAUUUUGACUCCUCUUUCCUCCAGAUCGGACGAUCCCACCCCACCCCCUGCUAAUCUCGUUACAGGUAACUUUCCAAUUCGGCGGCCCCACAGCCAAACCCUGUGGGAGAGUCAGACCUCCACUAAUAUUUGGAGUCCCUAAAUGCCUGGAGUGAAAAAGAAAGUCUACAUACAUAAACAGGAAGUGGUUUCGCUACCCAGUGCUUCAUCCUGGCAGUGUGGCAUUUCAGGCACAGGAGCCUAGCUGUGGAGAGACCUGCCCUCUGGCUGGCAUACCUCUCUGGUCCUUCGAAUCGCCAAAUUCCAAAAGGGGAAUAUGCCUUGGAAGAGGACUGUUGGAAGCCAUUUUCUGAACUCACUAAGUCGAGGAAAAAAAAAACACAACAAACUCCUUGUGAGGUAAGGUGGGUUUGCAAGGCCUCCCGCCAUCAGAUGGUGACCGAUGUCUACCCCCCCACUCAAUUAUUCUUGCUCCAGCACCGACCCCCAAGGUGCCUUGUCGACUGGUAUCAGGAGUGACUUGCUCCCUUAUCUUAAAAUGAGCUGAUUGCAUCUUGUGAAGGAACUUACUACAGGAAUUUCUUCUUUUGUGAUUAUAGGAGCAAAUAUUACAUUUCCUUAGAA